rnacentral:rRNA from 1 species
GACGAACGCUGGCGGCGUGCUUAACACAUGCAAGUCGAACGGAAAGGCCCUGCUUUUGUGGGGUGCUCGAGUGGCGAACGGGUGAGUAACACGUGAGUAACCUGCCCUUGACUUUGGGAUAACUUCAGGAAACUGGGGCUAAUACCGGAUAGGAGCUCCUGCUGCAUGGUGGGGGUUGGAAAGUUUCGGCGGUUGGGGAUGGACUCGCGGCUUAUCAGCUUGUUGGUGGGGUAGUGGCUUACCAAGGCUUUGACGGGUAGCCGGCCUGAGAGGGUGACCGGCGAGAUUGGGACUGAGAUACGGCCCAGACUCCUAGGGGAGGCAGCAGUGGGGAAUAUUGCACAAUGGGCGGAAGCCUGAUGCAGCAACGCCGCGUGCGGGAUGACGGCCUUCGGGUUGUAAACCGCUUUCGCCUGUGACGAAGCGUGAGUGACGGUAAUGGGUAAAGAAGCACCGGCUAACUACGUG